UCGAUUCCCUACGGGGCGCAGCAGUCGCGAAAACUUCACACUGGGGGCAACCCCGAUGAGGGAAUUCCUAGUGCAUGCAUUUAAUGUAUGCUUUUCUUUAGUUUAGAACGCUAGAGGAAUAAGGGCUGGGUAAGACGGGUGCCAGCCGCCGCGGUAAUACCCGCAGCCCGAGUGGUGGUCGAUAUUAUUGAGUCUAAAACGUUCGUAGCCGGUUCUGUAAAUCCUUGGGUAAAUCGGUAAGCUUAACUUACCGAAUUCCGAGGAGACUGCAGAACUUGGGACCGGGAGAGGCAAGAGGUACUUUUGGGGUAGGGGUAAAAUCCUGUAAUCCUAAAAGGACCACCGGUGGCGAAGGCGUCUUGCUAGAACGGAUCCGACGGUGGGGGACGAAGCCCUGGGGCGCAAACGGGAUUAGAUACCCCGGUAGUCCAGGGUGUAAACGCUGCAGGCUUGGUGUUGGAGACCCUUCGGGGGUGUUCAGUGCCGGAGAGAAGUUGUUAAGCCUGCUACUUGGGGAGUACGUCCGCAAGGAUGAAACUUAAAGGAAUUGGCGGGGGAGCACCGCAACGGGAGGAGCGUGCGGUUUAAUUGGAUUCAACACCGGAAAACUCACCAGGAGCGACGGUUACAUGAGAGUCAGGCUGAUGACCUUACUAGAUUUUCCGAGAAGUGGUGCAUGGC
rnacentral:rRNA from 1 species